ACAUGGAGGCUUACAACAUCUCUCACAUUUUCUGUUUUCCUUUUGCCUCAUGGAGGAAAAAGAGAAGAAUUAAUACUUUCCUGUUUCAUCCCAGGUGAUCCAUACCUCCUAAGUCUAAGUAGUCAUAGAAUCAUCACAGAAUCAUAGAAUCGCCUGGGUAGAAAAGUACCACAAUCAUAAUCUAGUUUCAACCCCCCCUGCUAUGUGCAGGGUUGCCAACCACCAGACCAGGCUGCUCUGGGCCACAUCCAGCCUGGCCUUGAAUGCCUCCAGCGACAGGGCAUCCACAAACUCCUUGGGCAACCUGUUCCAGUUUGUCACCACCCUGUGUGUGAAAAAAUUCCUCCUAAUAUCUAACAUAAACCUCCCCUGUCUCAUUUAAGACCAUCCGCCCUCGUCUUAUCACUGUCCACCCUCAUAAACAGCCAUUCCCCUUUCUGUAUAUACGCUCCCUUCAAGUACUGGAAGGCCACAAUGAGGUCUCCCUGGAGCCUUCUCUUCUCUAAGCUAAACAAUCCCAGUUCCCUCAACCUUUCUUCAUAGGAGAGGUGCUCCAGCCCUCUGAUCAUCUUAGCGGCCCUCCUCUGGACUCGUUCCAAGAGUUCUGUGUCUGUCUUGUACUGGGGGCCCCAGUCAGAUUCCACCUUCUGUACUGCCUCCCACCAAUUAUUUAUAUACACUUGUGUGAUUCUGGAUUAUAUGAGUGGACAUAGAACAAAAGAUCUUUUAAAUAAAUAAUGAUAAAUGUUUGGAAAGUGUUUUGAUUUCUGUUAGACUGUUCUUUGUUUGGGAAAUAGGUCCUUCUAUUAAAAAAUAGUGCUAAAAUUUUGCUGUGCUGAAUAUCAGUGUACUCAGGCAGUGUUUUGGUGAACUGACUUCUGGGUACAUCUUUUCUCUGUCAUAAAAAACAAAUCUUUUAUGAUCUCUCAACUCAUUUUGAACAAGUAACUUGGCCACAAAGUUUUAUUUUAAAGUCCCCUAAGCAUUGGAUAACAAGCUUUCUGGUGUUUUUGUUUUGUUCUGUUUGUUUGUUGUUAUUUCUCAUUUCCCUCUGUCUCUCUCUGUAGAUGUUCAAUACCUGUUUAGCAAUGUAAUACUAAUACAAAAUAGUAAAACUGAAAUAAUAUGAAAAAGUUAUUCCCAUGUUAUUCAUAACUGAAGAAAGAAGGGACAGUUAUUUAGGAGCAUUUUCUUGAACAUCUUCCAUAGUCUUUGUAAGC
ensembl:lncRNA